UACGGAGGGGGCUAGCGUUGUUCGGAAUUACUGGGCGUAAAGCGUGCGUAGACGGUUGUUUAAGUCGGGUGUGAAAGCCCCGGGCUCAACCUGGGAAUUGCAUUCGAGACUGAAUAGCUAGGGUACGGUAGAGGGAAGCGGAAUUUCCGGUGUAGCGGUGAAAUGCGUAGAUAUCGGAAGGAACAUCAGUGGCGAAAGCGGCUUCCUGGACCAGUACCGACGUUCAGGCACGAAAGCGUGGGGAGCAAACAGG
rnacentral:rRNA from 1 species